UGCAGCAACGCCGCGUGGAGGAUGACGCAUUUCGGUGUGUAAACUCCUUUUAUAAGGGAAGAUAAUGACGGUACCUUAUGAAUAAGCACCGGCUAACUCCGUGCCAGCAGCCGCGGUAAUACGGAGGGUGCAAGCGUUACUCGGAAUCACUGGGCGUAAAGGAUGCGUAGGCUGGAAAUCAAGUCGAGAGUGAAAUCCAACGGCUCAACCGUUGAACUGCUCUCGAAACUGGUUACCUAGAAUAUGGGAGAGGUAGAUGGAAUUGGUGGUGUAGGGGUAAAAUCCGUAGAUAUCACCAGGAAUACCGAUUGCGAAGGCGAUCUACUGGAACAUUAUUGACGCUGAGGCAUGAAAGCGUGGGGAGCAAACAGGAUUAGAUACCCUGGUAGUCCACGCCCUAAACGAUGCACACUAGUUGUUGCGAUGCUAGUCAUUGCAGUAAUGCACUUAACAGAUUAAGUGUGCCGCCUGGGGAGUACGGUCGCAAGAUUAAAACUCAAAGGAAUAGACGGGGACCCGCACAAGCGGUGGAGCAUGUGGUUUAAUUCGAAGAUACACGAAGAACCUUACCUGGCCUUGAUAUCCUAAGAAUCCUUUAGAGAUAAGGGAGUGCUAGUUUACUAGAACUUAGAGACAGGUGCUGCACGGCUGUCGUCAGCUCGUGUCGUGAGAUGUUGGGUUAAGUCCCGCAACGAGCGCAACCCUCGUGAUUAGUUGCUAACAGUUCGGCUGAGCACUCUAAUCAGACUGCCUUCGCAAGGAGGAGGAAGGUGAGGACGACGUCAGUCAUCAUGGCCCUUAUGGCCAGGGCUACACACGUGCUACAAUGGCUAGGACAAAGAGACGCGAUACUGCGAAGUGGAGCAAAUCUUAAAACCUAGUCUCAGUUAGGAUUGGAGUCUGCAACUCGACUCCAUGAAGCUGGAAUCGCUAGU
rnacentral:rRNA from 1 species